AUUCAGUCAGUCAACAAGGUGCAUGACCUGCAGCUAGCCUUUCACACCGACCAAAUUGAGCCUCUAAAAGACGACCAAUUUAUUUGUAAUUACAUGAAAAGAUCAAGAAAAGCAAGAAGCGAAUAUGGAUUAAGUUUUUGAGCAAGAAUGCCACGAAUUUGCAAGGUUSACACACAAAAAGACAAGUACCUGAAGAUUGUAACUUYGAUAGCUGGACAAAAGUCGGAAAUACAGAUCACAGUCUACCAAGCUUAAAAAACCUGAAAUGCCAGAUGCAGUGAGAACUUAGAAUACUUGGAAACCUUCACGUUUCCUUUUUAMAAGAAAAUUGGAUUUAAGACUUUUGAAAUUCCUACAGAAUCAAGUAGUUUGGAGUGGAAAYGCAAUAUACAUCAACAAUCCUGAAGUGGCAUCAACGUCAAUGUCAUUGAUCUAAAGUGGAUAAAUCCUUACCAAAUAUUUCUACAYACGGUUCAGAAAUUCUUCCCAAUUGCCCUCCACUAACAUCUGAGAUGCACUGUAACACAUGCUAUCUCUACCGUCAUUUUAUGCUUAUUUUGGCUGAUAACCGGAGAUUCCACUAGUCUUACUCAAUGGGUGCUUACCAGUGAAAGUACUCUACAAUCUGGUUAAUCUCAAUAAAUGUUUGGCAACCAACUUCAAAGUUAUCUAGUUUAAUGGCAGGAUUAGGCAAAUUCUUGGUCUUGUAAUUACUGUGAGGUUGUAUGAAAAAGGCAAUUACAGCAAUACUUAGACUGGGCCUUUAACCUUAACAUAAACAUUCUGCACACCAUUUUACCAGGUGCGCCACUUGAGAAGUACCCGCAAAACAAUUUCCUCGAAGAUGGAUUUCAUUAGUCCAAUUCCGAAGAGUAGUUCAAGUUUGUCUGGAAAGUAUCAAAAAAAUGAAGGACUGGUCUUUAUUCGUAGGUGUGGCUUCGUUUAAUGUUAUUUGACAGAAGAUAAUCCGAAAAUUGAUGUUUCCUAUCAUCUAAGAUAUAUUAUACAUUGUAGAACUUUACACAAACCAUCUCUAAAUGAUCAGUACCAUAUCGAUAAUAUUAUUAUUAGAGUAACACGGCAGUUUUUCUUGUAUCAUCUUUAAGUUUAAUCAUAUCUUUCGAUGACAAAGAGUUUGACUAAGAGUUUUUCUUGCCCAAAUAUAGAUUAGCUUUAGUGCACUUGAAACAUGCACAUGUUUACUCCACGAACAAAAUGCUGCAUUUCCUGACGAUUACGUCAGUCCAUUAAAUGCCAUAGGGCUGAUUUUUGUUCUAGUUCCCACAAAAGAUUUUCAAGAUUACCGAAGCUAUUUUAAAAUAAAGAUUUUGCUUAAAUCCGCGAAUACAUUCUCGUCGUUAAUUAGGAUUAUGAGCUCAUAAGUACUGGAGUAUUUCCAUGAUUUUUACAACAUCAAUCAUUAGUGACUGUCGUAGUCUUUGCCUCUGUUAUUUAUUGCUUCAUCACUGAAUCAACAGCAUUAAAACCUACAUGUAUCUGAUACUAUGAAAACUUACUUUAUAAAAUAUACGAUUGAUGUUUAGCCUGCAUGACGUGCAGUCAUCAAAUAAUCAUCRAAUAGGUCUUUCAUGACAGCGAUUUCUAGGAUUCAUUUCUUAAAUUCCACUUUCAUUUCAUCAUAUUAAAUAUUCUAUCGUUUUAGAACGUGUUCUUUUUAGCAAUAUUACUAAGAACACUACACUGCUUUGCUAAUAACUUCUCUCUAUCCUGUACACGUGCGUAACAGUGUUUUCCGACGUUAKUUUCUCGAUGAUGUAACAUCACUGGGAAAUCAUUCAAGCAAAGCGUUUCACAGAGGAAAAUACCUUGUAGAUAUAAGAAAAUUGUGCUCYUUAAGACCACCACUAUUAGUACAUCUAGUCGUGACGUAAUAAAAGACUUACCGAGAACGCUAGUCAAAAGACAUGUUAUCUUACGAGAGAGUCGAUCAAAUCAAGGUCAU